GAGAUAUAGCUCAGUGGUAGAGUGCUUGCCUAGCAAGCACAAGGCCCUGGGUUCAAUCCCCAGCACCACCA